rnacentral:sRNA from 1 species
UUCGGGAUUCGAACCCGAGAGAUCCAGAACGAUGGUUCGACUGGCGGCGCGCAGCGACGCCAGAACGUCGCCGCAGGCGGCGGCCCGCAGGGCGAGGCGCUACGCGCCGAGUCAUCCCUCCCUCUCCGCCA